CCUACGGGAGGCAGCAGUGAGGAAUAUUGGUCAAUGGACGAGAGUCUGAACCAGCCAAGUAGCGUGAAGGAUGACUGCCCUAUGGGUUGUAAACUUCUUUUAUAUGGGAAUAAAACGUUCCACGUGUGGGAUUUUGUAUGUACCAUAUGAAUAAGGAUCGGCUAACUCCGUGCCAGCAGCCGCGGUAAUAAGGAGGAUCCGCGCGUUAUCCGGAUUUAUUGGGGUUAAAGGGAGCGUAGGUGGAUUGUUAAGUCAGUUGUGAAAGUUUGCGGCUCAACAGUAAAAUUGCAGUUGAAACUGGCAGUCUUGAGUACAGUAGAGGUGGGCGGAAUUCGUGGUGUAGCGGUGAAAUGCUUAGAUAUCACGAAGAACUCCGAUUGCGAAGGCAGUUCACUGGACUGCAACUGACACUGAGGCUCGAAAGUGUGGGUAUCAAACAGGAUUAGAUACCCGAGUAGUC
rnacentral:rRNA from 1 species